AGCACCGCGCCCUAAAGUCGGACACGACAGGACUAAAUGUCAAGGGGAACCUUUACCUUUACCUUUGCUCAUUUGCUUGCAGGCAUCAUCUCCAUGUGGGCUGGAACAGACUCCUUUCAGAAUUGCUGGCGCCUGUACUUGCUGCUGACAGCAGGCCUCAUGCACUGGUGUGAAUGUCCGUCCCAUCCAUGCACACAGAUGUGGAAGCAGCUGGAGACUUGUGCUUCAAAAAGGCUGACUUUGGAUGGCUACCCCUGGGAAAAGGAACUUGUAAGUCUCACUCAAGAAAACUGAUUUAAUCAUGCUAGAAUUCAUCUGUGCAGUGUGUGAUGGAUUACAGUAAAGGAGGAAAAAGAGUAUAUUUGACCAUGUGCAGAGGUCAGAGUGCUCAGAGUCAGGGUUUGCUUUGGAAACUUGUUCAGAUUGCCACUCCAAGAACAGUUUGCUUGGCCCAAGGAGUUUCGGUUCUUUAUCCCUGACGUAUAUAGUGCAUCUCUGAACAAAGAAAAAGGCCAGUAUCCUGUUGCGGGUCUUAACUAAGAAUAGACCCAUUGGAUCCAUUUCAAGUUAAGUCAACAAUUAUGUAAAUCCAGCUGAGUUGAUGGGUCUAUUCUAGUUGCAGCUAGCAUGGCGAUGUUGGUCUAAAUCUUUUUCUCUUACCAUAGGGCAGAGGUGAGGUAGAGGACAUUUAUGGUGGUGUUGUGGACCCCAUUCCCUCGCUCGAGACAGCAUGGCAGAUGUACUCAUUCUCUGCACCCCCUUCUCUCUCUCUUUCUCCCACCAUCCCCUACUAGCAGACUGAUCUGGAAGGGAUGCCAUUGUCAGAGUCCAAAAUAAGAGACCCCCCCUCUUCUGUCCCUCCACCCAGGUUAAGUCUUUCUAUUCCUCUUGGGUAAACUGCCCUCUUGUCUCCCACCCCAGCUUCCCUUGCUCCAUCUCAUGCAGCUUUCCUUCAGCAGAGGCUGGCUCUUUAAGGCAAACAGGGCACCACCAGCCGCUGCCACCCUGCACUGGAUUGACUACUCCCAGCUGAUCCCUUCCUGCCAGUUUCUGUAUCUGAGUAGACAUGACCUGCCCAUGUCCCUCUCCUGCUGAAUGCCUAGCCUCACACAGUGUGAACGAGUGUGUGCGUUGAGGGGAGGGUGGGAAUGAGAUAAUGAAGAUGAGUUCAUCAGCCAACAGUCCUCCCUUGAAACCAGGCACAGAGAAGGAAGCGGCAAUUGGUUUGGGAUCUUGGAUGUUUUUUUCCCCCUGCUGUAAGUUAUAGAAUGAAUGAAUGGGCUAAGGGUGCAAC
rnacentral:lncRNA from 1 species